rnacentral:rRNA from 1 species
AUGAAUUAUGAGUUUAAUAGAUCCUCUUUAGCAGAAAGACGUAUAUUCCUUGCUCAAUAUCAGACAAUCACUUAUUCCCAAACCUCGUGUGGGACUAAUCGUUUUCAUUUACCAUCUCAUGGAAAACCCUUUUCGUUCCGCUUAGCCCUAUCGGGUAUUUUAGUGAUAGGUUCUGUAGGAACUGGACGAUCCUAUUUGGCCAAAUACCUAAUGAAAAAUUACGAUUUUCCUUUCAUUACGGUACGAGGGCUUCUUAUUCCACAAGAACGAAAGCACCUUUUCAUUCUUUCAUAUAUUAGGGGGUUUUUACUUGGAAAAGACAAUGUUCCAUACUAA